UACGAAGGGGGCUAGCGUUGCUCGGAAUCACUGGGCGUAAAGCGCACGUAGGCGGAUCUUUAAGUCAGGGGUGAAAUCCUGGAGCUCAACUCCAGAACUGCCUUUAAUACUGGGAUCUCGAGUCCGGAAGAGGUGAGUGGAACUCCGAGUGUAGAGGUGAAAUUCGUAGAUAUUCGGAAGAACACCAGUGGCGAAGGCGGCUCACUGGUCCGGUACUGACGCUGAGGUGCGAAAGCGUGGGGAGCAA
rnacentral:rRNA from 1 species